GCGCGCGCGAUGGAGCACUCUCCCCUGAGUGCUUCCUGUUCAGCUCCCUCACGCGUCGCGUACUGAUACCGGAGCCGGAAGAUGGCUCCGGUAUCAGUGUGGUGCGUGAGGGAGUUGAAGAGGGAGCACUCAGGGGAGCGUGCUCCCUCGCACGU